AAAUAAUAAUAAUAAAUUGUAAGUAAUAAUUAUUAAUCAACAAUGUUACAAAAAAUAUUCUUAAUCUUUACCGCAUUAAAUUAUUUACAAUGAUAUUAAUAAUAAUACAUUCGCCACAUUUAGUAAAUCAAAACUACUUUUUCUAUCUUUUCACGAUUUUAAUUUUGAUUAACUAUAUUUCUCGCAAUCGAGCAGCUAAUCAAAGUUACAUCGCAAUGAUCCAAAAAACGAGUUCAGCGAGCGUGAUAAAAAAAGUAGGAAACGUAAUCUCAAAUCGUAUUAAAUUCGACUCUAUCUCAAAUCAAAUCUGCGCAAUAAUGUCGAUACUCCCGUAUGCAGCUCGGCGGUAUUACCGUCAGCUUCGUACAUAAAUAUCGAGAUAUAAAAUACCAGUUCCAUUGUAGCCGCCCGCAUAUUACAGAAUGCGCAUUUGGAACUAAAGUAUGUUCAUGGGCGUCGUUCGCGUCGUUCGUGCGCGGAAAUCGCGAUAUCCAUCACGCGAGUGCGCAUCGGCCAUUUGAGGAUUAAAUUUCGAACACGCGUUCAUCCAAUGUCAGUGUAUGAUGAUCGAGCGUGCAACAAGUUUUCGCUGUGUCUGCGAUCGCUCGAGCGUUUUCAUCGAUUUUGGCCGCGAUCCCAUCACGAAGAUAGGUUAAACCAUCGUAUUCGCGAUCAGCGUUCGAAAUCGCGACGUUUUGCAGUUUAGAGCAACAUAAAGUCUGAGAUCCCGAGAGUAGGAAAGAUAGUCCAAUAACUCCCUUUUUGCCAAAAAUUACUUCACAAUGACGUCCGAAUGCGUGAAUAUAUUGUCGUGCAGAAGACAUGCCAACUACCCGCGGUCAGCAAAGUUUGGUCACGUAUGUCGAAUUCUCAGCAGUGCCGCUCCAUCAGUUGUACUUUUGCCGAGUUUACAAUAGAACUUGAUGUUUGUGCGCUGCUCCAAUUUUAAUGCUUUCGGCAUGAUGCUGCUAUGCACAUGCACGCGGAAAACAGAGAAAAAUUGUUAGUACAUUAUUAAUCACAAUUGAUUCUGACGAAGUUUCACGCACAAUUAAAGAAUUAAUUAUCUCAGCUAUUAUAUAUGUAAAAAUAUUAUCAUCCCAAAGUGCACGACCUCAACGUUACCAGUCUCAAAACUUUUUUAUAUAUAAUAUUCGUAUACGUUCUCGUAUAUUAUCUCCUAAAAAUAUAAAAAUAAAAAUGACUGUAACUACUA